rnacentral:misc_RNA from 1 species
GAAGUGCGAUAAGCAGUGCGAAUUGCAGAACCGUGAGUCAUCAGAUUUUUGAACGCAACUGGCGCCGGCUGGCUCUCCAGUCGGCAUGCUUGUUUCAGUGUCUCGUUAUCUCCUCACCUAAAUCUUAAUGCGAGAGAUACCCUUCUCUUGUUAAGUUCGAAAGCACUCUGCAAUCUGCAGGCAAUCUCGACUUGUUCGAGGGUUGCACUCAAUGCAGCAGUCACGUUUUACAAUGUGAACUCAUUGAGAGUGGAAGCAGCGCAGCUAGUCUGUUAGUGCUUAGGCACCCAAACUUUAUUGUCAUCUGAAAUCAAGCAGGACCACCCGCUGAACUUAA